rnacentral:rRNA from 1 species
UACGUAGGUGGCAAGCGUUGUCCGGAAUUACUGGGCGUAAAGCGUGCGCAGGCGGUUUUGUAAGUUUGUCGUGAAAGCCCCGGGCUCAACCUGGGAAUGGCGAUGAAGACUGCAAGGCUUGAAUCUGGCAGAGGGGGGUAGAAUUCCACGUGUAGCAGUGAAAUGCGUAGAGAUGUGGAGGAACACCGAUGGCGAAGGCAGCCCCCUGGGUCAAGAUUGACGCUCAUGCACGAAAGCGUGGGGAGCAAACAGG